rnacentral:tRNA from 1 species
UGGCUCAGUUGGUAGAGCAUGUUGUUUGUAACACCAGCAUGGUGUGUGCAACACCAGGGUUGUGGGUUCAAUUCCCAC